rnacentral:rRNA from 1 species
GAUGAACGCUGGCGGCGUGCUUAACACAUGCAAGUCGAACGGAAAGCCCCUUCGGGGGAAUUCGAGUGGCGAACGGGUGAGUAACACGUGGGGAAUCUGCCCUUCUCUCUGGGAUAACUCGGGGAAACUCGAGCUAAUACCGGAUAUUCCGAUCAGGUCGCAUGGCCAGAUCGGGAAAGCUCCGGCGGAGAAGGAUGACCCCGCGGCCCAUUAGGUUGUUGGUGAGGUAACGGCGCACCAAGGCGAAGAUGGGUAGCCGAGCUGAGAGGCUGAUCGGCCGCACUGGGACUGAGGAACGGCCCAGACUCCUACGGGUGGCAGCAGUGGAGAAUCUUGCGCAAUGGGCGAAAGCCUGACACAGCAGCGCCGCGUGCGGGAUGAAGGCUCUCGGGUCGUAAACCGCUUUCAGCAGGGAUGAAAUUGACAGUACCUGCAGAAGAAGCCCCGGCUAAAUACGUGCCAGCCGCCGCGGUAAUUC